CCAUUGUUGUUGAUGAUGCAUUUGUUGUUGAUGUUGCCAUUGUGUUGAUGAUGUCGUUGUUUUGAUAAUGCCUUUUUUGUUUAUGUAUUUGUUGUUGUUAAUACCAUUGUGUUAAUGAUGCCAUUGUUUUUUAUGAUGCCAUUUUUGUUUAUAUGCCAUUAUGUUGAUGAUGCCAUUGUUGUUGUUGAUGAUGCCCUUAUGUUGAUGAUGGCAUUAUUGUUGUUGAUGAUGCCCUUAUGUUGAUAAUGACUUAUGAUGUUGAUGCCA
rnacentral:lncRNA from 1 species